UUUCACCAAUUUCACUUAUUCAUGUUUACAGAGAAUAUUCCGUUUUUUUCCGCAUACAUAAAAUAAAAUUAUGUACAGUAAAGUUGAAAAAAAAAUUUUAUCACAAAAGAACAGAGUAAAAAUUUAUUUAAAAUAUAUAUAAUCAGUCGCGCUUAGUCUAUUGUCUAUUUAUAGCCCAUAAAUAUCAUGCGUCAUAAAAAUAAAUUUAUCAAUUGAUGAUAGACACUCGGACGCUAUCAUCAUAUUUUUAAUGACUUAAGUUAAUGGCACUGAUGAUUUAUGUAUAAAGUUAAACAACAAUAUAAAAAUAUUUUUAACGAAUAUUAAUUUUACAGUAGAGAAAUUACUUUCUGUAUGACAACUCUCUUUUUGAACGUAUACAUGCACAUGCGAUGCUAUAUAUACGUAUAUAUAUGUACAUAUAUGUGUAUGGAUAUACAAAGUAGUAAGAAAUGAACAACAUUACGGAAGUCUGAGGCAAAAUGAAAAGCGAGCGUCAACCGGCCACCCAGAGAGAGAGAAGCGGAUGGCGGAUCUGGGAAUCAUCCAGUUCUAGAGAGCAUCAGAUGAGUAGAGAGUACACAGUUAUCCUUCCAAUACUCAACCAAAAGCAAGAGGAAACUUUCGUAUGGCUCUCUCUUCAAACCCGCAACUUGUCUUCUCUUUACUUCUAUAAUACUGUAGUAUCUUUUUCCCUCUUUUUCCCUCUCUGUCGUUUUCUCUCUUUAGUAGUAUCCGCGUUUGUUCGCAGCGUUUCAACGACAUUACCCGAAAAAGUUUGCCAGAUAAAAAAGGAAGAGUGAGUUUGUUAGCAAUGUACAUGCAGCCGAGUGUACUACUAAACUUGGACUAUACUCAAUUGUAUGUAAGUUUAUGAUGAAAAGUUUACACGAGACUUUAUACACUGUAGAAGAUGAAAAAUAGCUUGGAAAAAAGAACUGGAUAAAGGAUUAUACUUUGUUUGAGAAAGUCAAGGAGAGAAAUUGGUUUGGGAUCAACGCAUAGUUCACAAACCACGACAUUCUACAAUAAAUUCGUUUGACCGUGCAGUGCCAUCUGUAUGGCUCUUAAACUGUCUGACGACAGCUGACUCAAACUAAAUUUAGAUUGUUGAUACAUAUUUAUUGACCAGCAGGAUCCAGUAUUACCAUAAAUAAGGAAAUUCCAUAAAUUAGCAAAUCAAAACUAUAUUAUUCGUACGAUAUUAGAUUUUGGUUUCAAUACAAAAAUUUAACCAAUUUUUCAAAUUUUUAUUUUUUUAAACGUGUCCGUAAUGGAACACUUGGAGAGUCACUCUGUAAUUUAUUUGUAAUUGAAUGAUCCUACGAUGAAAAAAUUUGAGAAAAAAAUUUUGAAAAUUUUAUAAGAAAACUGGAAAUUUAAUUUGAAUUUUAGGAAAAAAUUUGACUUCAGCAUACCCGUAAUGGAAUACUUUUAAAGUCAUUUGAAUUUCAGUCAUAUUUUUAUUAAAUAUCAAGAACUAGGUACAUUUGAAAUUGAGAAAUUUUUCACGGAAAAAAUUGAUUUCAAAAUUUAAAAAUAAAAAUUUUUAUAAAAAAUUUUUUUUUCCAAAAUCACAUGAUCGAAUCCAUCAAGGAAAAAAGAGCCGUUGAAAAAUUACAGUUUGUACAGUGAAAACGGGCCUUCGGGGCAAAAAUCUUCAAACAUUAAAGCUUAAACUGUAAUUUUAGAAAUUUGUUAUAGUAAUAAAAUUAAUACAA